CUGAUUCAGAUAGCCAUGCACGUCUAAGUACAAACUAAAUGAUGGUGAAACUGCAAAUGGCUCAUUACAACGGUUAUGAUGUACCCGGGAGUUCCGAUGGAUAUUUCCAGUAACACUAGAACUAAUACAUGUCCCUGCGUUUAUUAGUUUCGCACAGUCCGUCGCUGAGUCAUGGUAAACAGUUGAUCGACUCGACGUCCCGGAACAGUUUCCGCCCCAUCAGCUUCGAUGGUUGGGUAUUGGCCUACCAUUGCAACAACGGGUAACGAGGAAUUAGGGUUUGAUUUCGGAGAGGGAGCCUGAGAAACGGCUACCACAUCUACGGAUGGCAGCAGGCGCGCAAAUUACCCAAUGCAGACACUGUGAGGUAGUGACGAGAAAUAAUAAAGCGGGACUUCUGUUUCGCUAUUAUAAUGAGGAAUAACCAAAGGUCAUUCCGAUUAGCAACUGAUGGGAAAGUCUGGUGCCAGCAGCCGCGGUAAUACCAGCGUCAGUAGCAU
rnacentral:rRNA from 1 species